rfam:Caldicellulosiruptor owensensis OL, complete genome.
GUUAAAAUGGGAUAGGGUGAUGCAGUAUCCUAGUCAGAGUGGCUGCUUUCGAAGGCGGGCCUAAAAAUCCGCCAAAGGGCACACCGAUGAAGUUCCUGGUUUCGGCUUCUGACGCCCAGUCAGGGGUUGGAGCUGGGAGUAAGGGUUAAGGGAGUCCUGCAAUGGCAUGCAGGAUGCAACCCUUUUCCCGUGGAGGCUAACGCACAAAAAGACAGAACUUUUUGUGCGUUAGUAAAACCUACCGCCAGGUGCGUCCUUUUUGAGAAAGGAUGUGCUUGGGGUAGUGUAGCCUGCCUUGAGCGGAAUAGACGGAUGGCCGAAUUUCUGGCCUUCCUAAAAAUAGGGCCCGUUUUUAGGAAGGUCUUGAGGCCUGAAAUCUAUUUCGCAAAAGAGGCUAGAAAGCAUGCCCUCUGUCGAGGAAAGCUCCUAGGCUGUGCCAGGUAUUUGGCUUUACGAAGGGGAUUAAAGUGCGGACUAAGUGGCGAUCUGGUUGUGUGUUGGGCAACCGCACACCCAAACUUUUAAAGGGAAACCGCCUCCUGGCGACGGGAGGUAAGUUUGGGGGAAAUCCUACCAGACCUUAAGCCGCAAAAUUUACCCUUCGUAAAAUCACCCUAUCCCAAUAAAUU